rnacentral:rRNA from 1 species
ACGCGUCUUCGGGCACUAUUCUAACCCUUUGUUUAUUAUCCAUGUUGCUUUGGCAGGCCUCCGGCUUCGGCUGGGUCGUGUCUGUCAGAGGCCCAACUCUUGAAUCAGUGAUGUCUGAGUACUAUGUAAUAGUUAAAACUUUCAACAACGGAUCUCUUGGUUCUGGCAUCGAUGAAGAACGCAGCGAAAUGCGAUAAUUAAUGUGAAUUGCAGACUCAGUGAAUCAUCGAAUCUUUGAACGCACAUUGCGCCCUCUGGUAUUCCGGGGGGCAUGCCUGUUCGAGCGUCAUUACAACCCUCAAGCUCUGCUUGGUGUUGGGCUCGCCCUCUCGGGCCUGCCUCAAAGUCAGUGGCGGCACCGUGUGACCCUAAGCGUAGUAAUACUCGCCGCUUUUUUGGUUACGCGAGGCCUGCCAGCCAACCCCCACCAUCAAGGUUGACCUCGGAUCAGGUAGGGAUACCCGCUGAACUUAACCAUAUCAAAAGCCGGGAGGA